rnacentral:tRNA from 1 species
GAGGGUAUAGCUCAAGAGCACAUGCUUAGCAUGCAUGAGGUCUUGGGUUCAAUCCCCAGUAUCUCCU